rnacentral:lncRNA from 1 species
AAAGAGUUCAAAGACCACCUAGUACUUUGAAGCACAGUGGCACAGCCUGACCCGCACGCCCCUGAGAGUCUACACUCAGUUGAGCCCAGGAAGGAUGGUGUCCUGUUCAGUUGGCAAAAUUGGCUCCAAGGCUCUAGGAUACCAGGCCUGGGUUCUUGCAGCUGCCUUCAAAGCAGAAGUGUGUCGAUACGCAGACACGUGAUGGAAGGACGUGGGCUGCCUUAGCCGGUGCUGUGGAACGCCUGUGCCCUUGGUGUCAGAAAACGUGUUUACGGAGCUCUGCCUCCUGGGAUUCAGCCAGGCCACUGGAAAACUGUAAAAUCUGGAUCUGACUUUCCACUUGGGCUUUGCCGUUAAGCUGUUUCACUACACUGAGAUGUGUUAUAAAUGGGUCUGUGAAGCGGCCUCCCAGAACCAUAGCCGAAUUUGCUGCAGGGACGCUGUUGAGGGCGACAGUGUGUCUAUCAUUACAUCACACAGUCUUUUUUAAGAGCCUCAAGUGAGAAAUUUUCUCACUCAGCACAUGCCUGGCACAAAUAUUCGUUAGUGGGACAAAUGAAUGAAUAGGUUGCCUCAAGUUGUGGGAGGCCUCCACCAAUGACUGGACAAUCUCCCUGGAGGCAUCAGGACCAAAGGAAGCUCGGUGACCAAAGACUGAUGACUGCCAUGUUGUGAGCUGCCCUGUGGAGAGGCUCAUGUGACAAAGGACUGAGGGUGGCCUCCUGCCCACUGGUGUGGAACUGGGGCCCUCAGUGCAACAGCCCAUGAGAAACCGAAUCUCCCA